rnacentral:rRNA from 1 species
GACGAACGCUGGCGGCGUGCUUAACACAUGCAAGUCGAACGGUGAAGCCCUUCGGGGUGGAUCAGUGGCGAACGGGUGAGUAACACGUGGGCAAUCUGCCCUGCACUCUGGGACAAGCCCUGGAAACGGGGUCUAAUACCGGAUAUGACCUUCCUCCGCAUGGGGGUUGGUGGAAAGCUCCGGCGGUGCAGGAUGAGCCCGCGGCCUAUCAGCUUGUUGGUGGGGUAAUGGCCUACCAAGGCGACGACGGGUAGCCGGCCUGACGAGGGCGACCGGCCACACUGGGACUGAGACACGGCCCAGACUCCUACGGGAGGCAGCAGUGGGGAAUAUUGCACAAUGGGCGAAAGCCUGAUGCAGCGACGCCGCGUGAGGGAUGACGGCCUUCGGGUUGUAAACCUCUUUCAGCAGGGAAGAAGCGCAAGUGACGGCACCUGCAGAAGAAGCACCGGCUAACUACGUGCCAGCCGCCGCCGUAAAAC